rnacentral:lncRNA from 1 species
AAGCAACUGCUGCCAUGAGCAAGAUCCCAGCCCACAAGGAAAGGUCUGCCCUAUAGAUCAUCCUGUACCAGAGAUCUACAGCAUAAUGGCCUGGAAGCAGUCUUUGUUUUGGAGCCAAGCCCAGCAAAGUCUCAAUUCCUUCCCCUUCAAUCGCCAUCUGGAUGAACAAGGCCAAGUCAUUGACCUUCUCUGGGCCUCAGUUUCCUCACCCAUAAACUGGAGCAAAGUCAUCUCCAAGACAGCAGGAACCAUGUUUACUCUUUAAUCAUUGUAUGCUCCCUAAAUAUUUGCUGAACAAGUGAACAAAAAACCUGGUGGUGGUGAAAUUAGACUCCUUCUUGGUGUCACCAGGAGGUCCAGUUAAACAUACCAAGACUUGAGGAAUUAUGUCCAAGGUUCCAGCAUUGAACAUGAAGAACGCAGGAUUUAUUGGCACGUCGUGAUAACCGUAAAGCCCACGCUUCUACUGCAGUGUUGAGUUUGCGUGAUGGAGUCUAGCUGCGUUGCCCAG